rnacentral:lncRNA from 1 species
UGAGGGUGAGAGGCGAGGCGGGCCGUUUCCUCCUCCGCCUCUGCCUCUACUGCUUUCUUCGGAGAGAGAAAAAAAAAUGAACGAGAGGAAAAAUAGAUGAGAGAAAAAAAAAUGAACGAGAGAAAGAAAAAAUUGAGAGAGAAAAAGUAAUAAGGGUAUUUUAGUUAGUUUACUGAAAAUUCGAACCGAAUCUACAAAAUCGAAAAAGACGACCCAAUUUUGCAAAAACUCAAAAUUUGUGGAUUUUUUUAUACAAAUUGGCUUUAUUUUUAAAAGAAAGGGCAAAAAGAAAAGGCAUCUUUUUGGUUAAAAUGACUACAAUGUACUCACUAACAUUCAAAAAUUUAACUAUUAGAGAGAACAUUUUGAUCAAGAACUAAAAAUUAAUAAUAUUAUAAAGUUGACUUUAUUGUUAGUAUUGUAGUUUUUUAAAAAACUUGUAAAAUUUUUAAAAUAUUUUUAAAAAAAAUAGAUAUAGUUGUAUAAAUUAAAAACUAUUAGUCAAAAAGGUAUAAUU